rnacentral:rRNA from 1 species
UAAUACGGAGGGGGCUAGCGUUGUUCGGAAUUAUUGGGCGUAAAGGGCGCGUAGGCGGCCUGGUAAGUCAGACGUGAAAUCCCUCGGCUCAACCAAGGAACUGCGUUUGAAACUACCGGGCUUGAGUCCCGGAGAGGGCAGCGGAAUUCCCAGUGUAGCGGUGAAAUGCGUAGAUACUGGGAGGAACACCGGUGGCGAAGGCGGCUGCCUGGACGGGUACUGACGCUGAAGCGCGAAAGCGUGGGGAGCAAACAGGAUUAGAUACCCUGGUAGUCCACGCUGUAAACGAUGGGCACUUGGUGUUGCGGGUAUCGACCCCUGCAGUGCCGAAGCUAACGCAUUAAGUGCCCCGCCUGGGGAGUACGGUCGCAAGGCUG